UACAGAGGUGGCAAGCGUUGUUCGGAAUUACUGGGCGUAAAGGGCGCGUAGGCGGUCUUGUAAGUCUUGUGUGAAAUCCCUCGGCUUAACUGAGGAACUGCACGGGAUACUGCGAGACUUGAGAUCGGGAGAGGGAAGCGGAAUUCCGGGUGUAGCGGUGAAAUGCGUAGAUAUCUGGAGGAACACCGGUGGCGAAGGCGGCAUCCUGGACCAAUAUUGACGCUGAGGAGCGAAAGCCAGGGGAGCAAACGGG
rnacentral:rRNA from 1 species